GUAGGUGAACCUGCGGAAGGAUCAUUAUCGAGUUUUGAAACAGGUUGUAGCUGGCCUCUCACGAGGCAUGUGCACGCUUGGCUCAUCCACUCUCAACCUCUGUGCACUUUUUGUAGGAAUGGCAGGAAACUGGCGCAAGUCAGUAGAAAGCCUUUCUAUGUUUAUUACAAACGCUUCAGUUAUAGAAUGUUUACUUGCUAUAACGCAUUUAUAUACAACUUUCAACAACGGAUCUCUUGGUUCUC
rnacentral:misc_RNA from 1 species